GAUGAACGCUAGCGGCAGGCCUAACACAUGCAAGUCGAGGGGCAGCACAGAAACAGCAAUGUUUUGGUGGCGACCGGCGGACGGGUGCGUAACGCGUAUGCAACCUACCUUUAACAGGGGGAUAACGGAGAGAAAUUUCCACUAAUACCCCAUAACAUCGAUCAAGGCAUCUUGAUUGGUUGAAAACUCCGGUGGUUAAAGAUGGGCAUGCGUUGUAUUAGGUAGUUGGUGAGGUAAUGGCUCACCAAGCCUACGAUACAUAGGGGGACUGAGAGGUUAGCCCCCCACACUGGUACUGAGACGCGGACCAGACUCCUACGGGAGGCAGCAGUGAGGAAUAUUGGUCAAUGGGGGCAACCCUGAACUAGCCAUGCCGCGUGCAGGAAGACGGCUCUAUGAGUUGUAAACUGCUUUUAAACAGGGAUAAAGCACAGUAUGUAUACUGUGUUGAAGGUACUGUAAGAAUAAGGAUCGGCUAACUCCGUGCCAGCAGCCGCGGUAA
rnacentral:rRNA from 1 species